GGGACUCCAUUGGAAACACAUGGCCAUAAAAAAGAAAACCUGUUCAAGAAGUGAGUACUUUAGAAAUAAUGUAGCUAGUUAGUUGUGCAAGAAAUAUUUCGCGUUUGGUCGCUUUUAAUGUGACACACGGUUUGUGCAAUCUUGAUGCAAGAUAACUGGAGCCCCCUUGGGAGUCAUUAGCGGUGGAUCGAGUUAUAAUUGAAAGGUUGUAUCGAAUUGCUAACUUGACUAGUACUGCUGAUCGUGCUGUCCCAAAACACUCGUCAAGAUUCUACUAUGUGUUGCAUUGAGAAGCCAAUGUCAAGAACCUAAAUGUAACAUGGGAGAAAUUCAUGUAUCAAAUCUGAGGAAUUAAGACCAGAGUGAAGUGACCGGCAACCGAUGAACCUCAUUGUCAUGUUUGGGUGUCUUAGACUUCUGGCCUCUGAUGACUUCGAUGUCUUUUGUAAUUAGAUACUUCAAGACAAAGUGAAGUG